UUAGUCUAGCAUUUAUUACCACAUACUAGGUGUACAUUUAUGCAGUGCAUGCCCAUGUAGUCAAGUUAGCAGUCACAGCAAACGUAAACCUUCCAGUGAACAUAGCUCAAUAUACAAAUGCUAGAAACUCCUUAGAAUUGGAUGUUGAGUUCUCUUGUUUUAGCAAUUGCUUUGCCUUUCCAUUCAUUCUUCCUAAUGGAAAGACUUUUUAAUCAAUUCUUCUUAGACUUCUUAACUAAUUAUUGAUCUCUAUCUCACACUCUGGAUACUCAGAAGAAUAGUUAGUGCUGUUAUUACUGAGACUUACUCAAGGAACAAGCAAAACAGAAUGAUAUUUAUGGCAGUUGCUGCUCUGACAACAAAACAAGCAGGUUGUCUUCCCUUUUUUGCCCACACCAGAGCCAAGCUUAGCUGUACUAUUGCUGCCAGGCUGGAGAAUGGAUAUGGUGGUGGCAACUGCAGGUAGGUGGAAGACAGGCUUCUCCCAUAGGCACCAAUCACUCUUUGGUUUCGGCUGCUCAUUGAUGCGUACCAAAGCCAGCUCUUCAGACUUUUCCCCCAGCUCCUAGCACCCUCAUUCGAGUCUGCAGCAGUUCAGCCUUAUCUGUUCGGACAGCUAAGUUCAAUAUUACCUACAUUGCUGGGAAAGCUGGAUCUACUACCAAAGAUUAUUGAUUAAGGGUAUUCAUGACAAUUAAUGAGUAAUGUUUAGAAUUAAUGUGUGAUUUACUUAAUUAAUUGUGCUUCUAGAUUAAUUACAAUCCUCUUAUUGAGUAUCCUCCCCCUUCAGCUGUUUUGACAUUUUCUGCCUUGCUUCCAAAUGCCAGAAUUGUUCAGACUGCCCCACUUUUCCCAUGACCGCUCACCUCUAUCCGUACACCUUUUAAAAUAUCAGGGAGUUCAUAUUCAAAGUUUUUUUUUUUUGUAUGGUCUUGAUUCUAUUUUCUCUUUUUCCUUUGGAGAUUUAUAUUCCAGCUAUGUACUUCACGAUGAAGCAUAUCAUGAUGCUGUACACUGCUGCUGGGAUAGCAAUACCACCAGAUUCCAGGAAAACAACAAGGAGUAUUCAAAAUGCUUUUCUGACCUCUUUCAAACUCAUGACUUUUACAAAUAUCAAGCGGAAGAGACUAAGGAGGAGGUAAAAAAUGUGGGUAUUAGUGCUACUUCUCACAAAUGGAACCAGAUGUACUAAGAAAAACUUAUUGAGGUGGCAGAGUAAACAAAUAGGAAAUGCUAAUUCCAUUAUGAUGCUCUGCUCCCAUGGCACCCACAUCCAUUUCACCAGUUCCUGGGCAACAGCUGCCAGACCAAGCAGCAGGCUCAACCUCACAGCUUCUGUGUCAAGAACCACUGGAGACUGCCAUCUCCUGCCGAUGCAAAGCCCUACAGAAGCCCUCUUCUAGGGAGUCUGCAGAGGUCUAUGAAAAACAGUUUUAAUCAGAUGUAGCUGUUUGCUGUCCUCUUUUUCUCGUGGGAACUGAAGCACAGAGAUGACGAAGCUUCUCAAGGGCAGGCAGGAGGCUGUCUGAGAAAGCAGAAAUGUCCCAGCGUUGCUUGCUUAUUGAAUGCCCUAGCCACGAGCUCAGGCUUCCCUUUAAGACCAUCAUGAAGCAAAAAGCAGCAGUGCAGUGAUGUGUUCAUGGUAAUGUAUUUCUUUCAGGUGGAAAGGGAAGAAAAGCAAUACAGAAAAAGGUCAGAUCUAGAAAAGGAAGAAUUUAAGAAAGCUUCGUUUGACCUUUGUCUCUGGAGAAAGCAGAUGUGAGCCUGGGAGCUCAGAGACUCUUUGACACUUUGCUAUUCUCAGCAGCCCCCUUAUAAGGCUUUCACAGACAAGCAGCCACAGAAACUUAUUUCAGCUUGGCCAGGCCUUUUAAAUGGAAAUGAGUUCUUCACCCUCCACUGUCAACGGUGGAGCAUCCUUUCUUGCCAGUCGGUACGCCUGUUAGAAAUAGCUUGUGUUAAAUUGCCCCCUAGAGGAGACAAAACGGGAGCAGCAGAACGAUCAAAGCGAAGCGUACAGCAACGAUCUUCCGAAAGAGCAGCAGUACCUACACCGAGGUGACACGUUAGUCUUUCAGUGAGCCAGGAAGGAAUUCACAAUGACCAACAACACUUUGUUCCAUUUCUCUUCAAGGGCAUAAAAAUAAUGUAUUGUAAAAUGAAAUGAUGCUACAGUUUCAAGAUUAGGAGGCAAAUCUUCAAAGAUCAAAGGUAACGGUCUGCUUUUCAGUCAGAGUGGCACUCCACCUGUAAUUAGUUUUAAUGAAAAGAGGAUGAGCUUUUCAUCAGAAAUGGAUUGUGGCUGAUCAAACUUGACUCUUACUGUUGUUUCACAUCCUUUCAAUUCUGAAAUAUACUUUAAAGCUUUAAUGUAUCUCCUACCAUGCUUAAUAGAUAGGCAUCUUUUGCAAAAGGAUGCCCUAGAAAACAGAACUCAUUAGUUGUUGCAACUCUUUGUUCUUGCAAUAGGAGUUUGAUCAGAUUUUUUUUUUUGUUGUUUGCUUUCUGAUUAAGGAAAAGUUGUCUUUAAAUCUGAGAUAAUGGUUACAUAGACCUUCUCUCUAUUACUGAAUCUGACUAAUGUCAAAAAUAAUAUAAUAGAGUUAUGCAUCUUAAGGUGAAAAUUGUGUAUCCGUUGUGAUAAGGACCAUCUGCUUUCAUUAAAACAGGUCAGAGGCUCUUGUAGCCUCUUGUAACAACACCUUUGCCCCCCCAAAAAUGGAAAACAAUGUUUCUGCUAAUUUAGUGGGUGAAGAUGUUGUCUCCGUAGCUUUAGAUGAAUGGAAAUGCAAUAUCUAAUAGUAAUAAUUUGAGUUGAUUGAAGUAAAAGAAAUAAAAGAUUCAUUCAUAAGCA